GUCCUUACUUCAUAGAACAUAUAUCAAAAUUAGAAGAAUGCAGGGAAGAUUAGCAUAUCCCUUGAGCAAGGAUGUCCUACAAAUCGGUGUUUUCCACACAACAAGUUUUG
ensembl:snRNA U6 U6 spliceosomal RNA